CAACGCAGCAAGGCGGGAUGCAACAGACAGUAGGCUUGCAGAAAGUUACUACCUACGGAGCAGCACUGGACUUACUUUUCAAGAAGUUAAGGAAGAUAACUGGAGAUGUGGUAAUGAUACCAGAUGAUGGAGACCAUAUUUCCCCUACGCCGACAGACCAUAGUGAUGUCCUGCCCACCGGUGAACGACCUCAUGGACCUCUGGCCUGCUCUCAAAAUAGAGUCUGAGCUGCAUGCAGACUUCCAGCGGAUUACAAAUCAGAACCUGCAAAACACGUGCUAUGCUGAGCUUGACCACCAUCUUCCUCUAAUGAUGACCUUAUUCAGACAGAAGGCACCAAUAACUGGGAAGACAGCAGAUGCUCUGGCUGAAAUUUAAAAAAUCCACGAUGAACAGGGAAUCCAUGACAUCCACACCAAGCGCACUACUGUUCUCCAUGCCCUUCCUGUGUAUCUGCGCGAGGACGUCUCUGGAUUUUUAAGAACCUGCACGGAUGAGUCCGAUGAGCCAGAGCUUGAUGGGUUUGCAGUGGGCUUCAUUACUUUCAUCAGUGACUAUGACGCAAGUCCAGUUCACUACCACCCUGUGAGAAUCACUGUCGUCAUUAAAAGUGAUGCCGUGGUCAGCCUCCCCAGACUUGGCGAUGCCUACCUGGUAAUCUGUGGAGUGAUCUAUGCACUACACCUCAGCUAUCCCAAAGAACUGACCAACACUUUUGAAUUCACUUAAAAGAUUUAACUUUGUCUAGAAAGUGGUAAACUAUCCCUGAGGUUGCAGACCCUCAAGAAUGAAUUAAUUAUGUAGAAACUCAUCUGAAAAAAGGCUGCAGGGUAAAGCAUUAUAAAAGGCUAGUUCAAAGUUAGCUCCUUUUGUCUAAAUAAUGCCUCAGAAAGUUACUGCACUACUGCUGGUGUUCAGCCAAUAGGCCCAAACUACACAAUAUUCCUUUGUUCUCAUUAAUAUAAUGCAAAAGUAACGCUAAUGUUUUGUAUGUUUUAAUGUUUUUCUUAACCAUUUGUGGGCUGCGCAAGAUGACCCACAUUUCACUGUGCAUUUGAUACUGGUUAUGUAAAACAUUUACAUUUUAGAGUUUUAAGUGAAAAUGUUCUUAAACUCUAUAGAAUUUUUGAAAUUUCAUCCAAAUUGCUGCCCUGUUGCCUUACUCAGGAAUUAGCAAGGAAACCAAAAGCAGUGUUUUUUCUUUUUAUAGCUGUAACGAACAAUAAUUUCAUUUUGGUAUUAUUGUUUUUGAUUACUCCGACUAUUUCUAUCUGAUUAGUUGUCUGGUCAAUAUCAGAAAUUUAUGAUAAAUAUUUAUUUCCUAGGGCCUUAAAGAAACAUGCCUACUUAUUGGGACUUAUUCACCGUAUCC